AAGUGCACACAUUUGAGGCUUUGGAUAGUGACCCAAUGCUAGUGAAGUUAAUUGAUGCUCAAGUGUCCUGUGGGUGGUAGAGUUGAGCUGAAGCUUGGAGCUCAGGUGAUGCUAGCAAAGAAUCUGGAUGUGUCUCAAGGGCUGGUGAACGGGGCACGAGGCGUUGUUGUAGGAUUUGAAAGUGAACAGAAGGGGCUGCCUAAGGUGAGGUUUCUCUGUGGGGUCACACAGGUCAUAAGAAUGGAGAAAUGGGUCUUCAAAGGACCAUCAGGAGUUCACCUGAGUCGUCAACAGCUGCCUUUAAAGUUGGCAUGGGCCAUUUCCAUUCACAAGAGUCAGGGCAUGUCUUUAGAUUGUGUGGAAAUCUCCCUGUCUCGUGUCUUUGAAAGUGGGCAGGCUUACGUAGCCCUCUCCCGAGCCCGCAGCCUUGCAGGUCUCCGUGUUCUGGAUUUUGACCCAAAAGUAGUGAGAGCUGAUCCUUCUGUGCUGCACUUCUAUAGACAGCUGAGGCGUCAUCAGCUUUUAACCCAGGAUUCACUACACACCUAUUCAGAUGCUGAUGAGAAGGAGAAUGUGAAAUGCAGCUGAUAAUGUUCUCCUGGUUUCUGUGAAGUGUCAGCACAGACAGCUGAGAUGCAGUGAUCUUGCUAUUGAGUAUAUUUGAUAACACAGGUGUCUAGAGCUUUCCGUCGCGACAUAGAAGUAUCCCCACCUUGUGCCUCUGGAAUUUGGAAGGCUUCUGCAGCCCCCUUCUGAGCCCACAGACCUACGUAAGCACUUCUGUGUCACAGAUGCAACUCUAGCAAACAAAAUGACUGAACAAGGAUGUUCCUGAAGGACUUUCCUAUGGUUCUAUCCUGCCUGCCUAGUUGCAUUUAAUCCUCCACAUAUAUAGACUGAAACUUGUGUCCCUUUCUUCAAGUAUACCACUGUUGUGAGAUGGAAGGUGUCCGGAUGGAUUGGACCAGUUCACAGGAGCUGCUGACACAAGGGAAAGCAGUGCUAAGUAUCUGGAAUACACACUUGAUUCUUCUGCAAGCAAGGAGCUGGGCUAUUACUUUACAGCAUGCUGAGGUGUUCCAGAUGCUUGACACCAGGAGGCUUUGCAAAACUUCCUCCACAAGCAGAACUGCCAGUUACAUAUUGCUUGUUAUGCUGAUAUGUAGUGUUUUUAUUAGUCUGUUGCAUAAGAUGUGAUUUUUAUUUUUUUAACCCUCUGAGAUGAACUGGCACUGUUUAAAGACAGGAGGAAUUCCUACAUCUUAUACCUGUAAUUAUGGAACUACAAGAAUUGUGAAGUUCUGUUACUCCAUUAGGGAGAAGAUGGGUACUGGUGAGAGUUCCUCUUGUUAAAACAUGAGGCUUGCUCAAAUGAAAGUUGUCCCUGGAAAAAACCUGUCUGACUAAUAAGGUGGAAGUUUAGUGUGAAAUAGGGAAUAAUGGCUAUGGACAUGUGAAGUGAGCUGUAAUGUCACCUGUUUCAGCAAAAGCAGAGAUAAGCAGAACUAAUAUACUGUCUUAAUUAAGGCAAAGCUUUGGUCUUUGUAUUUUAGCACUUUGUUUAAAGCUUAAGUGACUUGUAUAUUUUAAAAUGUUUAACAUCUUAAAACAUGACAUAACAUUCAGCUGGAA